rnacentral:rRNA from 1 species
GAAAGGGUAGCAAUACCCCUAGUAAACCGGCAAACGGGUGAGUAAUACGUAGGCAACCUACCUCAAAGACUGGGAUAACCUCGCGAAAGUGGGGCUAAUACCGGAUAAUUCAAGGUGCUCGCAUGGGUGCCUUGUAAAAGUUAUAAUGAUUUAUCAUGAUAACGCUCUGAGAUGAGCCUACGGUCGAUUAGCUAGUUGGUGAGGUAAUGGCUCACCAAGGCGACAAUCGAUAGCCGGCCUGAGAGGGUGAUCGGCCACACUGGGACUGAGAUACGGCCCAGACUCCUACGGGAGGCAGCAGUGAGGAAUAUUGGUCAAUGGACGAAAGUCUGAACCAGCAACGCCGUGUGAGGGAUGAAGCAUCAAGGUGCGUAAACCUCUGUUAGAAGGGACAAAUAGUUCCGAUUGCAUCGGGAUUUGACGGUACCUUCAGAGAAAGCCCCGGCUAACUCCGUGCCAGCAGCCGCGGUAAUACGGGGGGGGCUAGCGUUGUCCGGAAUUAUUGGGCGUAAAGGGCGCGUAGGCGGGAUGGUAAGUCAGUGGUGAAAUUUCGAGGCUUAACUUCGAGUCUGCCUCUGAGACUGCUAUUCUUGAGUGCGGAAGAGGAAAGCGGAAUUCCCGGUGUAGCGGUGAAAUGCGUAGAUAUCGGGAAGAACACCAGUAGCGAAGGCGGCUUUCUGGUCCGUUACUGACGCUGAGGCGCGAAAGCGUGGGUAGCAAACAGGAUUAGAUACCCUGGUAGUCCACGCUGUAAACGAUGGGCACUAGGUGUUGGCCCCGAACUGACGGGGUCAGGUGCCG